CGGCGGACGGGUGAGUAACGCGUGGGUAACCUACCCUGUACACACGGAUAACAUACCGAAAGGUAUGCUAAUACGGGAUAAUAUAUUUGAGAGGCAUCUCUUAAAUAUCAAAGGUGAGCCAGUACAGGAUGGACCCGCGUCUGAUUAGCUAGUUGGUAAGGUAACGGCUUACCAAGGCGACGAUCAGUAGCCGACCUGAGAGGGUGAUCGGCCACAUUGGAACUGAGACAUGGUCCAA
rnacentral:rRNA from 1 species